CCUACGGGAGGCAGCAGUGGGGGAUAUUGCACAAUGGGGGGAACCCUGAUGCAGCGACGCCGCGUGGGUGAAGAAGCGCCUCGGCGCGUAAAGCCCUUUCAGCAGGGAAGAAAAUGACGGUACCUGAAGCAGAAGCCCCGGCUAACUACGUGCCAGCAGCCGCGGUAAUACGUAGGGGGCAAGCGUUAUCCGGAUUUACUGGGUGUAAAGGGGGCGCAGACGGCGAUGCAAGCCAGGAGUGAAAGCCCGGGGCCCAACCCCGGGACUGCUCUUGGAACUGCGUGGCUGGAGUGCAGGAGGGGUAGGCGGAAUUCCUGGUGUAGCGGUGAAAUGCGUAGAUAUCAGGAGGAACACCGGUGGCGAAGGCGGCCUGCUGGACUGCAACUGACGUUGAGGCCCGAAAGCGUGGGGAGCAAACAGGAUUAGAUACCCUUGUAGUC
rnacentral:rRNA from 1 species